AAUGAACGCUGGCGGCGUGCCUAACACAUGCAAGUCGCACGAGAAAGUCCCAGCUUGCUGGGGCAAGUAAAGUGGCGCACGGGUGAGUAACGCGUGGGUAAUCUACCUCCGAAUUGGGGAUAACACUGCGAAAGCGGUGCUAAUACCGAGUGACAUCCCCGGGACCCCGGUCCUGGUGAUCAAAGGUGGCCUCUACAUGUAAGCUAUCGUUUGGAGAUGAGCCCGCGUACCAUUAGCUAGUUGGUAGGGUAACGGCCUACCAAGGCUGCGAUGGUUAGCUGGUCUGAGAGGAUGAUCAGCCACACUGGAACUGACACACGGUCCAGACUCCUACGGGAGGCAGCAGUGAGGAAUUUUGCGCAAUGGGGGAAACCCUGACGCAGCAACGCCGCGUGAGUGAUGAAGGCUUUCGGGUCGUAAAGCUCUGUCAAGUGGGAAGAACCUGCUUUGUGAUAAUACCACGAAGCACUGACGGUACCACUGAAGGAAGCACCGGCUAACUCCGUGCCAGCCGCCGCCGUAAUAC
rnacentral:rRNA from 1 species